AAUGACAGCCCUUGGAUUGUGC
rnacentral:miRNA from 1 species